rnacentral:precursor_RNA from 8 species
GACUUGGGAACCCAUAUGAGCUUCAGGGAGUGUAAACAUCCUACACUCUCAGCUGGAGCGCAGCCGAGGCCGGGAGUGGGAUGUUUGCGCUCUCUGGCUCAGGAACGCCCCUGUUCACUGU